rnacentral:rRNA from 1 species
GAUGAACGCUGGCGGCGUGCCUAAUACAUGCAAGUCGAGCGGACGGACGAGAAGCUUGCUUCUCUGAUGUUAGCGGCGGACGGGUGUGUAACACGUGGAUAACCUACCUAUAAGACUGGGAUAACUUCGGGAAACCGGAGCUAAUACCGGAUAAUAUUUUGAACCGCAUGGUUCAAAAGUGAAAGACGGUCUUGCUGUCACUUAUAGAUGGAUCCGCGCUGCAUUAGCUAGUUGGUAAGGUAACGGCUUACCAAGGCAACGAUGCAUAGCCGACGUGAGAGGGUGAUCGGCCACACUGGAACUGAGACACGGUCCAGACUCCUACGGGAGGCAGCAGUAGGGAAUCGUCCGCAACGGGCGAGAGCCUGACGGAGCAACGCCGCGUGAGUGAUGAAGGUCUUCGGAUCGUAAAACUCUGUUAUUAGGGAAGAACAUAUGUGUAAGUAGCUGUGCACAUCUUGACGGUACCUAAUCAGAAAGCAACGGCUAACUACGUG